rnacentral:rRNA from 1 species
UACGUAGGGUGCGAGCGUUGUCCGGAAUUAUUGGGCGUAAAGAGCUCGUAGGCGGUUUGUCGCGUCGACUGUGAAAACCUACAGCUUAACUGUGGGCUUGCAGUCGAUACGGGCAGACUUGAGUUCGGUAGGGGAGACUGGAAUUCCUGGUGUAGCGGUGAAAUGCGUAGAUAUCUGGAGGAACACCGGUGGCGAAGGCGGCAUCCUGGACCGGUAUUGACGCUGAGGCGCGAAAGCUAGGGGAGCAAACGGG